UGGCUCAUGUAGUUAAUCACAGAGAUUUAAGACAAAAGUACUUCCCUGACAAGUAUUUGGAUGAGUGGGAAAUAACCACAAAUGGGAGCAGAGCCUUGCAGACUUUGUCCUGCUGGACUGAGCAGUGCUGUAAUUCCUUUCUUUCCAAAUCCAGGGCUGUCAAAUUCCAUUGGAAUUGUCCUGAACAACAAAGUCAGCAUCUUUCUGGUCUGAAGCCAGACUGCAAAGCGAGGGGGCAGAGAGGGAAAAGUUGUCUCUGGGACAAGUGGUACCUCCUGCUGGUGACCAUUUCUUGCUGAUACUGGAAUAAUCAGGCAGAAGUGAAGGAGCACAUGGAGGCAUGUAAAAAACCCACAAGGAUCUAGAAAGGAGAUGGAUUAUCCAGCACUAGAGAAUUCCUCUCUGUCCAUGCUAUUUGUGUUUCUUCCCCAACUUUGACAGGUUGAAUGGCUCCUUCUUUUUGUCUGGGAAAUGAGCAGCUUCUAUUGUCCUUACAGAGAUUUCCAGCAGGAAACUAGAACUGCCAAAAUUGUUGAUGGCUCUGGUAGAAGCACAGCAGCAAAACCUGUUCUGCCUCAGAGGUCUCAGUGGGGUACAAGACCCAGCUAAACACAGCAAGAUGUCUCACCAACCAACCUCAGGUUCCACAGGCUUCCAAGCACAGCAUCAGCCACGUCACUUGUCCUGCGUGUCACAGACCAGAGGAACUCUUCUGUUUGCAAUUCUCAUGAGGGCUUGUGCCUAUUUUCAUAUUUCUCCUUUCCAACCUGUGUGUGCAAGUAUCAGGCUUAUCUUUUCUUUGUCAGAGGAUCAGGAAUGACGCAGGGAUGAAGAGCUGCAUGCAGCAUUUUCAGGAGACCAAGGGAUUUCAGUGCUUUUUUAAUCAGACUGGGAUUUUUUCAGCCUUUAGCUAAAGUGUUACCGAUUUCCUACACGUUUAAAAUUCUAGAUCUCUUGUUAAUUUAGGUUUUGGAGUUGUUUUCUUUUUUUUUUAAAUCCUAAAUAUGCUUUUUAUAUUAAGAAUUACAAAGACUGAUCAACUAAGCUCACUUACAGUAUACCAGUUAAAAUUUGAAAAAUAUACCUGGAUUUGUUCAGCAGACUCAUGUUCUGCCUAAAUCACAGGUCAAUAAUAACCUUUCAUGAAAAAUAGGACCAAUACUUGCAAACUUGUUUACUCAGCCAUGGCUUAAAAAAGUGAACUCAAGUGACCUGGGUUUAAAGUCAACUCACCUGAAAAAUCAAGCAUCUGAAAAAUAAGUGACAUAUCUCCCAGAUGAAGCAAUUACCUAACUAGUGACAGUAAAGCAAUGAGCAUCUCCUCCAGUUGCUGUUAAACACCAAAGAAGGUGUUAUUGUGUAUAUCUGGCAGCUCUAGGUGACUUGAGAGAUGUAUUUAUGAUAAAAGAUAACAGCUAAUAACAGAAGCCAUUCCACACAGGACAGACUAGGAGCUAAAAAAUAUUUCAGAAGCAUCACAGUGAUUUUGUGAUCAUAAAAGUAGCAUUUUUGUUAAUGCCACCAAGCCUUCAAUACAAUGCCAUGUUCCUUCUGUCUGCUUCAAGUUUUUUUCCUUUUGCAUUUACAAAAUCAAAAGGGUUUACAAGAUGAAUGUGAGUUAUCCUCCACCUCUUUCAAUGACUUAAUAACAAACAACUUUAAUACAGCCAGUGCUGAACUGGAGUUCAAGAACCAUUUCUUGGAAAUCUGAAAUACACUGAAACCUUAACAAAGAAAAUGGUAUUCUAUUAAAUCUGCA
rnacentral:lncRNA from 1 species